rnacentral:rRNA from 1 species
CAGUAGCCGCGGUAUACGAAGGGGGCUAGCGUUGCUCGGAAUUACUGGGCGUAAAGGGCGCGUAGGCGGACAGUUUAGUCGGGGGUGAAAGCCCGGGGCUCAACCUCGGAAUUGCCUUCGAUACUGGCUGUCUUGAGUGUGAGAGAGGUGUGUGGAACUCCGAGUGUAGAGGUGAAAUUCGUAGAUAUUCGGAAGAACACCAGUGGCGAAGGCGACACACUGGCUCACUACUGACGCUGAGGCGCGAAAGCGUGGGGAGCAAACAGGAUUAGAUACCCCCGUAGUCCCUGUCUCUUAUACC